CAUCUUUUUACUUGCUUAUAAAUAGAAACUCGAAAUCACUUUUACAAUCAUCCAAACUUAGAACAGAGGCAAACUCAGAGCAACUUUGUUUCACUUAGGCAUAUAUUCAGUAUUUUAAAGUGGUAAUCGCUUCGUAUUGGAGUGCUACCACAAUUGUGUAAUCGAGUCUGUGAUAGAGUCUGUAAUCGAGUUUGGAGCACUUUGGAAGAAAGUUAAUUCUGCCGCCAUUUUCAUUUCCGCUUUGCAAUUUACUCAACCCUCCGAUUGGAGCAGGUUUUUAUUA
rnacentral:lncRNA from 1 species